rnacentral:rRNA from 1 species
CCUACGGGAGGCAGCAGUGGGGAAUAUUGCACAAUGGGGGAAACCCUGAUGCAGCGACGCCGCGUGAGUGAAGAAGUAUUUCGGUAUGUAAAGCUCUAUCAGCAGGGAAGAUAAUGACGGUACCUGACUAAGAAGCCCCGGCUAACUACGUGCCAGCAGCCGCGGUAAUACGUAGGGGGCAAGCGUUAUCCGGAUUUACUGGGUGUAAUGGGAGCGUAGGUGGCAGGGCAAGUCAGAUGUGAAAGCCCGGGGCUCAACCCCGGGAGUGCAUUUGAAACUGUCCAGCUGGAGUGCAGGAGAGGUAAGCGGAAUUCCUAGUGUAGCGGUGAAAUGCAUAGAUAUCACGCAGAACUCCGAUUGCGAAGGCAGCAUACCGGAGCCCGACUGACGCUGAGGCACGAAAGCGUGGGGAUCGAACAGGAUUAGAUACCCUUGUAGUC